UACAGAGGUGGCAAGCGUUGUUCGGAUUUAUUGGGCGUAAAGGGUCCGUAGGCGGUUCGGAAAGUCGGAUGUGAAAUCCCACAGCUUAACUGUGGAACUGCAUUCGAAACUUCCGGACUCGAGUAUGAUAGGGGUAUAGGGAAUUCCCGGUGUAAGAGUGAAAUCUGUAGAGAUCGGGAGGAACACCAGUCGCGUAGGCGCUAUACUGGAUCAUUACUGACGCUGAGGGGCGAAAGCCAGGGGAG
rnacentral:rRNA from 1 species